CUCAGUCUGUAAAGUUAACAAAGCAAAGUCCUCUCCUUAUUUAGCUCUCACUGUGCGUCUGUAUGAGUGUGUGUCACAGAGAGCACGUCAGCCGGACGAGACGAGACGCCACUGUUGUUUAUGUGUUAGUGAGUGAGGGAGUGGGACGGAUAUAAAGGGAGGAGAGAUAGCGAAGCGGAGAGAGAGGUGCUUCUAAUUGCUUUCAUUUUCCUCUAAUGACCGCCGUGGCUCGAGGAGGAACGGAAACACAGAUCGGCUGUCAGUCUCAGCGCACACACUGCGGAGAGGAGGACUCUUCUGGACGCACGCGCGCGCGCGCCCGUCUGCACCUGUUGAGCGUAUCUGUUCACGUCCUGCAGUCAUGUCCGUCUCCACGGCUGUGUGAGAGGCUGCUCGGGUCUAUCACAGGUCUUCCUAUCUUACAGGAGAGAGAUGUCAUCGCUCUAUUCACGCAGCAAGGACCUUUCCUCUCGCCCCAGAAAGUCCCUGUCGGACUCGCCGCCCUCCUCCCCGUCCUACAGCAGCAAAACAUCCAGACAAGACCGGGCCUCAAGCAGGCCAGACUCUAGUGGAGUGGAGACUGCGUCAGACAGACAGUCAGCUCGGACCACCACAUUCACGCGCAGAGAGAACAGACUCGCCUCUCUGAGCAAAACAGAGGACGACUCGGCCAGCAAGGACUAUAAGAAGCUGUAUGAGGAUGCACUGACUGAGAAUGAGAAGCUGAAGUCUCGACUGGAGGACAGCAAGCAGGAGCUCACCAAAAUCCGCUCACAGCUUGACAGAGUCACACAGAAGCAGGACAGGAUAUCAGAGAGGUCCACUGUAUUUGAAUCAGAAAAAAGGGAAAAAGAAGCAUUGGAGAAGAGGGUUUCGGACAUGGAAGAAGAAUUUAAGACCUUUCCCGCUCUGGCUCGACUACAGGCUCUCCGCAGGGGGAACACGAGCCUCCUACAGGAGAAUAAAGCCAUGCUGCACUCCCUCGCUCGCCUCACUCAGACGGCCUCUCUCCCUGAGACAGAUGAUCUCUAGUUCUCCUCUUUAUCUCUCUCUGUCCCUUCCUCCUUCCUGUUAUCUCCGCUGCACCCAGUAGUCCUCUUCCUUUGUCUGCUGCUGUUCACCUCUCAGGUUUUGACAGAACUCAAGUCUGAUAACCAGCGGCUCAAAGAUGAGAAUGGAGCUUUAAUCAGAGUCAUCAGCAAACUUUCCAAGUGAGGACGACCGGCUGGAGGAGGGGAGGAGAGGAGGAGAAACACUGAACAGAGAGACACCAAAUCUGAGAACUUCACAUUGACUUCAAACUGACCAUUGUCAUGCUGGGUAAUUUGCUCUUGGUGCAUCAGCUCCAGAGAUUCUCACAGCUUUAUUAUUAUUAUUUUUUUUAAUUCUGUUAUAAUUUACUUGCUCAUGUCAUUACAAACCGGUACGGCAUUCUCUCUGCUGUGGAACGCAAAAGAAGAUAUUUUGAGAAAUUUCCCAUAGAAUCAUCAAAUCAAUGGAAUGUUUUCUCACUGUUAGCCAUUACUAAACUCUAAAUGUUUCAGGAUCAGUGUAGAAGAUGAUAGAAUCCCUGCUGAAAAACAACAGAAAUGUCCAUGCUGGCCCAGCCUGGUUUAAUAGUCCUAAAGAUAAAGGGUCUUUAAUGGCAUUGGUGGCUCCACAAAAAAAAUGUUUUCACAUUAAGGAAAAAUCAUUUCCUUUUAGAAAAGAGUUCUAAAAUGUAAAUGUUCUUUGGGGAAUGCAAAAUUGUUCUUCUUUGUCAUGAAAACCCCUUUUUGGAACCAGAUUACUGCUAGUCUAUCUGUGGAACCAGCAUAAAGAUUCUCUUGACCAGCUAAAAUUAGUUUGUGAGGCCGGUCAACUAGGUUUCUGAUGAAGCUGGCUGACUAGAAGACUCUUGCUUGUUAAGAAGCACCAGCACACUACGGAUAAGCAGCUAAACCACAGCAUUGGUCACCGACUGUUGUGGUCUUUUCAGCAGGGAGAAGCUGAACAAACUACCAUUCCUUUAAAUAAUAUUUGAUCAUCAAUCCAAUCGAAUUAUCCAGAAGCGGUCAGUUGGUCUAAUACGCUCCAGUAUGUUCUUCUAAAAGGAUUGUUCCCACCAAGAGAAACCACUUUCCACAUAUCAACCCAUUUGUCCUGUUUUACAAUUGUGGUGUUUAUAUAUAAACUGAUGGGCUGAAGAAUGGAUACGUGAAACCAUUGAAUGGGUUUUAUAUUUAUUGGUGCUUUUUUGUUUGUAAUUAAUAGUAUCUAUAAGGAUAAAACAGAAACACAUCACACAUAAUAUGGCAUUUCAGAUGCUUUUCAUUGUCCAGUUUUCAACCUGUAAUCUUGAACCAAUGCUCACAGCACUUUGUUUAUGAUUGUGUUUGUUGUGUAUUAAAAACACACUGUAAAAUACAGAUAAUGUAGUCAAUUGCCUUUUUAGGUACAG